CCGAAACAAGAGACCUCCCAUUGUUUGAAGUGCCAAUAUUUGCCCAUUGCAUCAAACAAAUACAAAAUUAAAACAUGCACAUAAGUAAACUAAAGUACUAAAAGAUGCAAUACAUAAAACCAUAAUAUCGAGUGCACUAAUUAAAGGAUAGUAAAAAGUGCAUUAGUACAUAACAUUGUUCGAGACUUAAUCAAUAUAAAACUACCCAAACUACGAGACUACUGAGUGCAACGAGGCCACUUUCCCUUCUUGAAAGCAUUGGGGUUCUCCUCCAUUGCUGCUUCACACGGCGUGCACGCUCAAGCUUCUUCUGCUUCUCCUCCUUGUAAGCAGCAACACGCCUCUUUUCCACCUCUUCUGUUCGCUAUUUCUCCGCCGCAAGCUCCUUCUGUUUCUUCUCCAUCAUCUCCUUGUCCUCUUCCUCCCACUUAUUUAGCUUCUUCAUUCACUCCUUGUCUUUCUGCGAGAUCUUAGAGUCAAUCCACUGCUCAAAAUCACAGAGCGGUGGAGGAGUCUACAAAGCAUGCAACUGGUAGGCGCCAAAUAAAUCAUGCAUCAAUUCGUACGAAACUAGAGAAAUGUUAGACUAUAAAAUUCUCACCAUCAAGAUAAUGCGGCGUUGAGUAAUCGUUGGCUGAUAAAUAUAGUUAGCACACAUCCAAUACCUCUGCAUGUACGUGUCCUCUUCAUCGGACUUGACUACCUUGCACGGAUCACCACAAAAACACAUAGGCACUGGAACACCACUAGGCAGAGGCAGCGGGUCGAAGGCAUUUUCGAUCAACGGACCCUUCCUAAAAUUCAAGUUGUUUCGUUCUAAGAACCGCAUAAACAUUAAACGCUACAAUUCGAUAAUACAAUAUAUACAAUGGUUAUCUUGGUUUAGAAGAUUUACCACGCAUAGGCAUCCUAAGAUUCGAUAAUAAGAAAAUUAGAAAUCCUUGACAUAUAUUUCAUACAAACCAAAUCGAUGACAAAAAAAGGAGUCAGAGGAUACCUUGCCACAGAAGACCACUGGAUCAAAUACAAGUUUCAAAGGUCCAAUUUGGUGAUAUUUGAGGAUGGUAGUCGUAGAGAGAAAGAAGAAAACCGUGAAGAAUGAGAUAAAAAAGCAGCGUCUGCAAGGAAAGAAUGGCCGCCGUUUAUAUUGCGAACCUCGACGCCAAGAUCGACGGCGCCGAGGUCGGCGCCACUGGUCUCGACGCCGAGGUUGGCGUCCAGAUCCAUGGCGCCGACCUCGCUGUCACGUGUGCGCCACCUCAUCGCACAGAUCUGAGACCUCAGCGCCAAAUUGACGCCGAGGCGUGUAACCUCGGCACCAAUGAUAACGGCGUCGAGGUGAGAAUCUAUUUUCUGAAAUCAAACAAAAAAGGUGUAUUUAUAAAAAACUUUUGGAAAAAGGACCAAAUCAAAAAAAAAAGACGGUAGGUGACAUCGUUGUUACGUCUGUGCCACUGACACCGGG
rnacentral:lncRNA from 1 species